rnacentral:rRNA from 1 species
GGGUAGUAGUAAUAUNUUUAAAACCUAAAGAAUUNGGCGGUACUUCAUUCUUACUAGAGGAACCUGCUCUUGUAUCGAUAUUCCACGAUUAAAUUUACAUAUUUUUGUUUUCAGUUUGUAUACCGCCGUUGUCAGAUUAUUUUUAAAAAAUAUUAUCUAAUUAGCUUAUUGUUGUGACAUCAGGUCAAGGUGCAGCCUAUAAAUAUGGGAGUAGUGGGUUACAAUAAAAUUAAAUUAUCACGGAUUAAUGGUUAUAUAAUUAUUAUUAAGGUGGAUUUAGUAGUAAAUUGAAAAUAAAUUGUUUAUAUGAAAUAAGCUCUGAAGUGUGU